AGUCCAAAGUUUGAGGCCAUUAGAAAUGGGGCCUUGCUAUUUUAGAAGAUUUGAAAUGGCCUCAAACUUUGGACUCGGAAGGAUGGGCUUUAUGGAUGCUGAUUCAAUUUUAGAUUCAGUUUAAACUAGAAGAUCAUUGCGAGUACAAGAGAACAUUGUGAGUCGUAUACAAAAAGGCUUAAAAGAUUCUAAUCAAGUUUGGUAAAUAUGAUUGUAGUACCUUUCUUCAAAGAGAAACUUCUCCUCGCCUAAUUAAAUAAAACAUUUUGAUUUUCUUGGUAUUAUUCAGUUCAAUCAAAUAAGAUAUCAUCUAGGUAAUUAAAUAUUAUCAAUAAAACAAUGGUUCAUGAUCAAAAUGAACAACCAAGGUCGUUUGGUCUGGUUCAUAAACACAGCGUAAUAUGAUUCAGUUUAAACUAGGCAAUGCUGAUUCAAUUUUAGAUGCUUUCUUUCUC
rnacentral:lncRNA from 1 species